rnacentral:rRNA from 1 species
CUGCUGCCUUCCGUAGGAGUCUGGUCCGUGUCUCAGUACCAGUGUGGGGGACCUUCCUCUCAGAACCCCUACGCAUCGUCGGUUAGGUGGGCCAUUACCCCGCCUACUGCCUAAUGCGCCGCAUGCCCAUCCCUGUCCGGCCGAAGCCUUUCCUGCCUCCGGGAUGCCCCGGUGGCAUGUACGCGGGUUUAGCCCGCCUUUCGGCGGGUUGUCCCCCUGACAGGGGCAGGUUGCAUACGUGUUACUCACCCGUGCGCCGGUCGCCGGCGGAG